rnacentral:rRNA from 1 species
GGAGGAAUAUUGGGCAAUGGGCGAAAGCCUGACCCAGCAACGCCGCGUGAGGGAAGAAGGUUUUCGGAUCGUAAACCUCUGUCCUUAGUGAAGAGAGAAAGACGGUAGCUAAGGAGGAAGCCCCGGCUAACUACGUGCCAGCAGCCGCGGUAAUACGUAGGGGGCGAGCGUUGUCCGGAAUGAUUGGGCGUAAAGGGCGCGUAGGCGGCCUGUUAAGUCCGGAGUGAAAUUCCUGCUUUCAAGGUAGGAAGUGCUUUGGAAACUGGCGGGCUGGAGUGCAGGAGAGGUUAGCGGAAUUCCCGGUGUAGCGGUGAAAUGCGUAGAGAUCGGGAGGAACACCAGUGGCGAAGGCGGCUAACUGGACUGUAACUGACGCUGAGGCGCGAAAGUGUGGGGAGC